UCUGCAGCGUCCAGCUGGAGCACGAUCCUUGGGGGGCUCCGAGGAGCAUUGCUGUGCGGGCGACCGCGCGCUGCAAACCUUGCGGGGGUGGAUCCCGGCGCGGGCCAGGGCAGGGGGCGCUGGAGGGGGCGGGGUAAGGCUGCUCCCUGGUCCCCGCGACCCCCCGUGGCCCUCCCCGCAGCAGCGCGCUCCGGGGGCCGGUCGGGUCGGCCCCGCUCGCCGGUCCCAGCCCCACUCCGGCCCCGCCCGGCCCCGCCCUCUCCCCACGGCUCCGGGCAGACCCGCCCGCCCGAGCCGGAGUUACAAGAGCCGCCUCCGCGCGCGAGGGCCGGGCCACUCGGAGCAGCUCCGCCGGGGGGACUGCACCGCCCGCCCUGCCGGACCCGCCCCGACCGGGGCUCGCCGCCUGCAGUAGCCGCAGCACCGCGACCUGGGGCCCCGCGCGGGCUGUGGCCGCGCCCCGGGGCUGAGCGCGCAGGUAGGGGCGCCGGGCGCAGCGCGAACCGGAGAGGGGACGUGGGCCGUAGGGAUGGGCGAGGCGCUCGGGCCGGGCGCUCGGCUGCCGCCCAGGCCGCGGGGAGCAAGCUGGGCCGCCCCGGGGCCGCCCGGGGAGGCGGCGCGGCGCGCCCUGGGAGCCAAGCUCUGCCUCCGGAGUUGGGGCGCGAGUUGGGCAAAGUUGGAAACGUCGCUCGGAAGCGUGUUUUGCUGCAGCCCUUAUUUCCCUCGGGGGCUGCUUGUUGGUUGGGGUGCCCCGUUCCUGGCCUGGGGGCCGCUGGUGCCCUCCGCCCCAUCCCCUCCUUCUCCUUGGGGCGGUGGCUCAGCGCGCUGCGCCCGCUCCUAUUCCGUGUUUACUGGAGAAGUUUCCGACGUCGUCGCCGAGGCCCCUCCCGGAGUCCCCCGCCCCCGCGCCCGCGCCCGCGCUCCGUCCCCGCUCCCCGCACCUCCGUCUCCAGCUGCGCGUCCGGAGUCCUCCCGGUCCCACCCAGUCCUGUGCCACCGGCCUGUGCCUGCCCCGCCCUGGGCUCGCCGCUCCGCGGUCCCCGCUCCAGGAGCCUCCCUCCGUCCUGCCCUAACUUUGCAGCGCGCCUCAGGGCGGGCCGGGUGGGAGAAGGGGCGGGGGGCGUAAUUAGGGAGAUUCCAGCGCUGGGGUGGGCGGGGACGCGGUGCGGUGCGGGCCCGGCCCUCGGCCCGGCCCCUCCCCUCCCCUCCCCUCCCCUCCCCUCCCCUGGGGGGCGGCGCGCUCGCCCACCGCGCUCCCUACCCGUCCGGGCGGGACGGCCCCGCCCCUGCGCCUGGCUCGGCGCCAGCAGCCUGAGGAAUGUGUGGCUGGAGCCGCUGACUAAUUCAAACCAGAACUCGGGGAGGAGUGGUGAGGGGCCGAGGGGAGGGGGAGGAAGGGGCUGCUGGGGCGGCGGGGGCGGGAGCAGGGAGGAGGGCUCGGCGCGCGCCUGGACCCUCCGCGGCAGCCGCGCGCUCCGGGAGGGGGGGGCGAGGUCUUGCGCUGUCGGGCGGGCCGAGCGCGCGGGGUGUGCUCGCAGCGCCGUGUUAUGUAAGGCUUUCCCAGGCGGGGGGCGGGCGUGCAGCGGGGGAGGGCCGGCCCUCCCUCCCCGGCCCUCCCCGGCCCUCCCCUGCCGCGCCAGGGCCGGGAAUCUGGGGGCGCAGCCCUGGGCGGCGCCGGCCGGGAGGGACACGCGGGGCUGA
rnacentral:lncRNA from 1 species